CAGUUGUAUCCUGAGAGCAAGAAGUGAAUAGUUUGGACACAGAAUGGGUAACGAGAACACUCACGUAGCCAAUGCAAGUCGCUGUGAAAUCUACAUCUUCUUCCAGUCAACUAAACUGCACGUUUCAGAAAUAGCAUUUGGCGUCACUACGGCCACUGGAGCCACAGUUUCAGAGAAAGCUGUUGAAGGGCAUCUUAACGUUGGAACAAGCCUUAAUGUGAACCUGAAACCAGAUGCCAGGAUCCAGUUCUUGAGGUGUCCUUCCAGGGAGUACACAAAAAUAUCUUUGCAGGGAGACCUGUAUACAACAAUUGUUUUAAAACAUCCAAAGCAAAACGAUAAUAUAUUGUGUGUGAAUUUUAUGAUUCCAUCAGACCAUUCUAUCAUAGCCACUGAUAACAUGAUCAGAUUUACAAAGUAUGGCUACUUGUGGAUGGACGAAGCUGGCAAUUGUCACUAAAGGCUACACUGCCAAUGACUAAAUUACCUCGUCGCUUCUGUCAAGAGUUAACUUGAAUUGUACUUAAAGAAAAAUUAACCCAGACAAA